rnacentral:sRNA from 1 species
GCCAGGCACAGUGGUGCAUGCUUGUAAUCCCAGCUGCUUGGGAGGCUGAGGCAGGAGGAUCAUGAGUUCAAAGCCAGUCUUAGCAAAAGCCAGAUGCUAAGAAACUCAGUGAGACUCUGUCUCUA